AAAUAAUCUAGGAAGAAUAAAGAUUAUAAGGCCAUAUCAUUUAGCUGCCUACCUCUUUGGGUGAAUUUGUAUAUGUAUUCAAUAAGUAAAUAUGCAGCUAAGCAGUGAACUAUAAUGCAUCAAACAGUGGGAAAUAGUAUUCCAUUUAACCUUGGGAUUUUAAAGAAGUUUCUAUUGUAAUUAGAGUACCAACCCAUAGGCAUGGGAGAUUUCAUUUUCUUCUAGCAUUGGUGCUUUUGCAACUAGGUUUUUGUGGUAUCUCUGGUGCCAAGACACCAUAGAAUUCCCUUAGAAUUUAGAAUUAGAAAUCAGAAUUCCCUUGGGUUUAGAUGAGUGUUUUCAAAGGGCUAACUGGAAGGACCCUAAUAUAAAAGAUGCCAAGAGCCAUCACACAAAAAUAAGGGAAUCCUGGAAGGAGUAUCAUGGUUGUUAUUGAAUAUGGGUUGCUACAGAGACAGCAGAGAAGACUGACUUGAGAAACGUUUGGAAAAAAUAACUCAACAUCGGAAGUUGUUGGUACAUUCAUGAAGGCACACUGCUACACACCCCAAUAACAGACGAAUAAGGCAUGCUCCGUACCCUGAAAAAGCUCACAGGCCAGAGCACGAGGAAUGCAAUCUUCCAGGAGAGAAACAACACAGCAGAGAGGUAGACCUGAGGUCCAGCCCAGUCCUGCUACAUGGUCAUUGAAAAUGGAAGUCUUCUUGGGACAUCGACAAAUGCUGGAGGGGCUAAUUCACAAAUAAAUCACCAAAGGAGGGAAAAUGAGGGGAAAGUGGUGAGAAGACUGUUGGUUGACAGGAGACAGCCAUAAAAUAGAGAUUUGGUUUCACAUUUCUUUUUGGUUUUGCAACAUUUAAGCAGCCUACAUUAAGCACGUAGUAUGUGCCUGACAUUGUGUUUCCCACCAGCGGUAUAGUCACAGUUCAGGAAUGGUCACUGCUCCCGAGUUACUUUU